rnacentral:rRNA from 1 species
UACGUAGGGUGCAAGCGUUGUCCGGAAUUAUUGGGCGUAAAGAGCUCAUAGGCGGUUCGUCGCGUCGGCUGUGAAAUCCCGAGGCUCAACCUCGGGUCUGCAGUCGAUACGGGCGGACUGGAGUUCGGCAGGGGAGACUGGAAUUCCUGGUGUAGCGGUGAAAUGCGCAGAUAUCAGGAGGAACACCGGUGGCGAAGGCGGGUCUCUGGGCCGAUACUGACGUGAGGAGCGAAAGCGUGGGGAGCGAACAGG